rnacentral:tRNA from 1 species
GAGCCCGUAGCUCAAUGGUUAGAGCGUUGGAUUUCUGAUCAACGGGUCACGGGUUCA